CAGUUGAUUCCUUGAACCCCUUCAUGCAUGCCCACAGCCUUGCCUUUAUGGUCGACAACUCUUCGAAGAUGGCUCAGCUCGGGUCAAGGAAGUGGGCUCCCUAGUUCGCGUACAUCCUAACUCAACAAGCUACUUUUGCUGUGGACAGUGGCACCCCAAUCAACCAUGACCUCAUCGGCAACUUCUUGCCAGAUCUGGUGCACGGAGCGAUCAAAGUUUGCGCCCGGUUGAGACCUCCGGUUGACAUCUCCGUGCCCCUAGAUGUGGACUUCGUACGACCUCACCUGCCCUGCCAAUUGAAGCUUUUCGAGGGUAAAAAGGCUAUAAAAACCCAAAUCUUACUAAUGAGAUAUUAUUUGUAAGAACCACGCUGAAUUUCAAAAUAAUCGAUUACCCAAGUUCAUGAGAGUAAUUGUCAUAUUUAUCUAAUUAGUCAUUUACUUAAUAUCUCCUUAAUCUGUCUGAUAUUGACUUGUGCUAAUUUAGUACCGCCAAAAGAAUAUUAAUCAAAGGAAAAAAGAAACCCUAACAGGUAGUUAGGUAAUCAUGUUGUUGUUGAACAUAAUACUUGGGUCCACUCCAGACAUCAAGUAUUGAGUUAUAUAGCUUGUAUAAAUUCAAUACGUUUUGCACUUAUUUUAUUGGACAAACACUAUAGGCUAGGAUAAAUGAUAUGGCCUAAAGCCCAUUUCAAUACCGAUAUCAAUGUAAAAUAAUAAGAACCCUAGGGAGCUCAUUUUCAACUCGACUAUUUUAAGAGUCCUUUUCUUUAAUUGGCAAAAAUACAUAGCUUCCCUGCUUAGUUACACAUUUUUUUUAAUUGACUUUAGCAAUUCAAAUGUUCAGCCUUCCUUUCCGGGUAAUACACACUUUAAAAAAAAAAUUCACUUAUAUUUAAGUACUAAAGUAACUCAUUUGAGUAUCUUCUAUGUUCUAUAUCUCAAAUGCCAUAGAAUAGGGCAUGGAUCCUUAUAGAUGCUAAUGAUGUACAGGUCGGACUCCUCCGAUGUCGAGCUCCUCCGAUGGCUGUGGAUCCGUGUGCACGAGAGAUAGAGAGAGCCGUCUAGGGUUUUUGUUAGGAGGAAGCUUCUAUACUUGUGUUAAUUUUUGUGGGGAAGAUAAAAGAGAAAGAAAGUGGAGUGGUUGAAGAACUCAUAUAUUGUUAAGCCAUGCCUUAACAAAAAGCAGUAAUUUGGUAUUGCGUACAUGGUGGGUGGGGAAAAUGAGAGCCACGUGACUAAAAUUUAUAGUACAUAUGAUGAAACGUUUUUUUUUCAAAACUAUAGCAUUACAAAUAAUGGAUUGAAAAAUCUACAGUUUGUAAUUGAUCGAUUGAAUUUGACACAAAAAGAGAAAAUUCAUUGAUAAAAAAGUCAUGAGUGAACGUGACACGAGAUUUAUGGAAUUUCUAUCUUUUAGAAAACGGGAUAUGUUGGCCGUAGAUAUCACACUGCUUUUUAUGGCAAGUUUUCAACUUUUCACCUAGUCGAUCGAUGGAAAUCCGAUUUCUGGUCUUUAAAGCCUCGGAAACGACUACGCUUCUGCCAAAAAAAAAAAAAAAAAUAUCAAUAAAGAUUUUUCUUUUAAAGCUCGAAAAACGCGAGGGCAUCUUCACCACCCUCACCAUCCUCAUAAUUUUCAAAACUCGUGCCCCACGCACGCACGCCGUUGCACACACCCGUGAGAUACUUUUCAUCUUAUUAUUUUUUUCUAUUUUUUUUUUCAUUGAGCACGUGACUCAAGUCCAAGUUCGCGAUAGGUUGGUACCCACCCGAAAACUUAUAAGGAAAGAUUCGACUUGAAUGUGAUGAACCCAAUGCUCGCUGCAAACCGGAUUGAAAUUAGGUUUUUCACACGUUUUUUUAUUAUAUAAAUAUUCUUUUUUUUUUUUUUGUAGAAAAGGAUACUAAUAAGUAUCAACUUAAUGAGAGAUUUGCAUUAUAAACUCCACGUUACUAUUUAGCUUCAUCAAUUUUCCCUGUCCUCCCCUCGGCAAAGGGGGUAAAUAAAGUGAUCAAUGAAAGCAAUAGAAUUCUAUGUUUUGCUUCUGACGUUUCUUUCUUUUAUCGACGAUGUUUUAUGGUUGGUGGCUCCUCAAGUGUGCCGAAUGCGUCGCCCAAGUAGAGCUGUAGCACUACACUUAAAAUGAGAAAAAAGAACAAGAAGUCGAUCCUGCUUGACUUGGCCGCUCUUUAAGUUUACGUCUUUAUUUUACGCGCUCUGUAAUUUUUGUGCCUCGAUCUUACACCAUAAAUUGGAUUGAAAAUAUCCCACAAUACCAAUCUAGAAAUUGCACAGCUAGUCGCGCUUACUCGAAAUCACGUUGCAUAUUUAUUAUUGGGUAAAUGUUUAAUAAGCUUGUCAUUGAAAUUGAAUAUGUUAUUGGGAAAUGCUGUUUAAGAGUGAGCAACAGGAACUAUUCGGGCCAUGAACCGUGGAGACCCGAACCCAACCGACUGUCCUUUUUCCCUGUAUUUGUCCUCUUGCCCUUGCUUUCCUUCUAUGGCGUAACCUAUUGUUCCCUCUCCGUCUUCCAUUGUUCUCAAAACCAACAUUCAUACGGUACAAUCCCAAAAUUACCCCUUCCUCCCAUAUUUCGUUACACAGAAAAGGCAAAAAACAUGGAACUUCUUAAGAGCACACUCUUUCUCUCUACAUCUAACAUUCCUAAAAGCACGCUUUCUCUCUACUCAAAAUCAUGAAACCUCUUGUGUAGAGAGCCUCCUCCUCCAUCCAACUGCUACCCGCCAUGUUUCAGAGAUUUUCUGCACAAAAUACAAGAUACGAUAAAUUCCAUUAGAUUACUUAAAAAUCGAAUCGGACUUACCCACCAUGUUCUGUAAAAUAUAAGAUGUGACCGAUUUCAUUGGACCAUCCGAGAAUUGGUCCAGUUUUCAAUCGGAAACCUAUCCCUUCUCUUGAGAGAGAUUGAACUGGAUCGAGAACCGUUCACCCUUAAAAUUGGCCAGUUUCAAGAGAACCCGAAUUUGCGAAACUGGAGCGGGUCAUUUGUCACCCGACCCGCAUCCGGAGGUGGGGUUGUCCUGAAUCCACUGAAUCCCUCGACUAUAAAACGCCUGCGAAAAUGAGCAGCCUUUCGUCCCCUUCUCUCUCUGCAUUCCCCGCAAACAACCCGCUUCCUUUCCUAAGCUCUCCAGCUCUCGACAAUGGCGGCGGCGACCUCCUUCUCCCCGUCCCUCUCCGCCGCGGCCUCCUCGAAAUCCCUCAAGGCCCUCGCCAACCCCUCCCCGGCCGGCCUCAGCCUCAGCCUCGGGUUCCUCUCCUCGUCCUCCGGCUCCUCCCGGGCCCUCAGGGCCGCCGCCGCCGCCGCCGCCGGGAAUGGCGCUGGCGGCUCGGCCCUGGGCGCUCGCAUGGUGUCCGUGCCGGCCGUCAAGCCGCUCGCCCCGCUGGAUUUCGAGACCUCGGUGUUCAAGAAGGAGAAGGUCACGCUCGCCGGUCACGACGAGGUGUUGUUUGCUGUUCCGAUCAUUAAGUAUUUACGUAGAAAAGAUGAGCUUCGUGCGGCUUUCCUUUAAGUGACCGUGCGUUAUGCGUAGAGAGUUUUAGGGGACAUGGAGAGUGUCGAGCAGAGAAAUGAUGGGAAGAUGAUUUUAGAAAUGUGUCUUUUUUUUGCUCCGGUUUCGCUGGCUGGACGUGUUUUUAUCUGUUCUUGUUCUGAAUGUAUCUGUUUAUGUAUGGACAUCUGGGUAGAAGUUGAUUGUUCCGUUGUGCGUGCGUACCAUUUGCAUUUCUAAGGAAACCGGGUUUGCUUCUUUCUGGGUGUAUGAUGGAAAAGGAUGAAACUUUGCUGCUCUUGAUUUUGUCGAAAUACCGGUUGAUUGUUCUGUUCUUCACCCUGUUGCAGUACAUUGUGAGAGGAGGAAGGGACUUGUUCCCGCUGCUGCCCGAUGCGUUCAAGGGAAUUAAGCAGAUUGGUGUUAUUGGUUGGGGUUCUCAGGUACCAUCUCUCGGCUCUUUCCUUUCAUUUCUGACUUUUGUUUGGUCGGUUUAGCUGCUUCAUUGGAUGUUCUUUCAUGAUUUUGGCAACUUCGCUUGUCUACUUCUUUUGGGGCGUUAUGUGGGCUUCAGCUCUCAGAGGUCUUUGAAGUAUUUCUUUAUUGUGCGGAGUUUCUGUAUAGUGAUAGAGGAGAAUCUUGGGUUUAUCCUCCAAACUAUCAAUUGGAAGGAACUUCAUUAAACCUUGGUUUUUCAUUUUCCUUCCUUAGAAAAAAUAACCGUGAUAGAGGUGGCUCGGCGCACUGUGAGAGUGAUGGUACAUCCAUCGGACAUUUGUAUAGUGGCUUUUCUGUUGGCUGUUCUCCUAUAUCUUAAAAGAGCUACAACAUACUUGUUGACAAUAUAAUCAGUGUGAUGUGGUUGCUAAGCUGAGUCGUUGCGUAACUGGAAAAGAGAGACACAACCUAGGGGCUGUGUAAUCUUGGGAGUUAUUAGAGUGUCUAGGAAGGUUGUGAAAUCCAUACUCUUUCCAGUAGAAGCAUGGUAAACAACAUGUACAAAACGUUUUUCAUCUUCCAAGCUUUUCGUUGAGUUUGGUUAUAACAUCUUCACAUUCUGUGCAUACUUGGUUUUUGUAUUUACCAUCUGUUAAUGAGUGUGCUUUUCUAGGGUCCUGCUCAAGCCCAAAAUCUGAGAGAUUCUCUGGCUGAAGCGAAGUCUAAUAUCGUGGUUAAGGUAAUAUUUCUCUUUAGGCUAUGUAAAUAAUUUUAAAAAGGUUGUUGGUCACAAUCAAUCCCUUCACUGUUCCACAGUUCUAAUUGGGUUUAUCUGGGCUCUCAUUUUAAUUGGAAAGUUCACCUCACCAUAUCAUUUUUACAGAUUGGACUCAGAAAAGGUUCCCGAUCUUUUGCUGAAGCUCGUGCUGCAGGAUUUUCUGAGGAGAAUGGGACACUGGGUGAUAUAUGGGAAACCAUUUCAGGAAGUGAUCUUGUGUUGCUACUGAUUUCUGAUGCUGCACAGGUUUGUGACAUUUGUUUAAUACUGAUGAAACUAGCCAAAGAAGCUUUAACUUUGCACUUGGCUUCCACCACUGUCCCUAGAGUCCUAGACUACUUUAUUUCCUUAGUUCUUUCCCCUGUUUUCUGAAUAUCCAAUUCCAUGUAAUGCCGCAGGCGGAUAACUAUGAGAAAGUGUUUUCUCACAUGAAGCCAAACAGCAUCCUCGGUCUGUCCCACGGGUUCCUUUUGGGGCAUUUGCAAUCUAUGGGACUUGACUUCCCCAAAAACAUCAGCGUGAUUGCUGUGUGCCCCAAGGGGAUGGGUCCCUCUGUAAGGAGACUCUAUGUCCAAGGCAAAGAGAUAAAUGGUGCUGGAAUCAAUUCCAGUUUUGGAGUCCACCAGGUGAGCAUGCUGAACAAAAAUAUAGGCCCCAUUUCUUCCCAACACACUUUAGCAAAAAUGGGAGACUUAAGUUUCUUAAAAGGUGCUAAUUGUUUCUUGAAUACAGGAUGUUGAUGGAAGAGCCACUGACAUUGCCCUUGGUUGGUCAGUUGCACUUGGUUCUCCAUUUACAUUUGCUACAACUUUGGAGCAGGAGUACAAAAGUGAUAUCUUUGGGGAGCGUGGUGAGUUUAGCUCCAUGCUUCCUUAAUCGGGAUGAAUCCUAAAUAAAAUAUCUAUUGACAAUUACAGAUAACAGUUCUAUGGAUUUCUAUGUUGCAAGUAUGUGAAUGAUGCUUGGUUUGUGCUUGCCUUGCUCUUAGGCAUUUUACUUGGUGCCGUUCAUGGAGUUGUGGAAUCCCUGUUCAGAAGGUACACUGAAAAUGGAAUGAGUGAAGAUCUGGCAUACAACAAUACCGUUGAGUGCAUAACAGGCAUCAUAUCGAAGACCAUUUCCACAAAGGUUGUUUUUUGGUGAUAAAUUUGAUAGCUGCUCCUUUCUAUUUUCCCUUACUCUUGGAUGCCACUGAUACCAUUGUUAUAGAGAUGUGUAUGGCCUGUUACUGGGUCAAUGCGUUUAAUUUUGUUUUCUGGUCAUUUUCUCAACAGGGCAUGUUGGCUGUUUACAAUUCACUGUCUGAUGAAGGAAAAAAAGAAUUUGAGAAGGCAUACAGUGCAUCGUACUAUCCUUGCAUGGACAUCUUGUAUGAGUGCUAUGAAGAUGUUGCCAGUGGUAGUGAGAUUCGCAGCGUUGUUCUUGCUGGACGGCGCUUUUAUGUACGUUUUACUUCGAUAAAUUUUGACUUUCAAUUUGAUAGAGCAAAAGUAUAAAGUGGAUGCUCAUCCAUUUUCCAGAUUAAGAUUUUCUUGUCCUUUCUCUUCAGGAAAAGGAUGGUCUACCUGCUUUCCCGAUGGGCAAGAUAGAUCAGACCCGCAUGUGGAAAGUGGGUGAGCGUGUGCGAGCAGCAAGACCAGCUGGUGACCUUGGCCCAUUAUAUCCUUUCACAGCUGGUGUCUUUGUUGCCUUGAUGAUGGCCCAGGUGAGGAUCUCUUUUUAUAUCUUGGUGCCAAUAUGGUUGGCUUGGUAAUCUUAAUCUCAUGGAAGAUGAAUACUUCCCACGCUAGUUUCUUCAGUUUCUGAGUUUCAAGGCUCCUCUAGUUGUAUUGAAUUUUUUUUUUGGUGGGCUAGAAGCCAUCUUAAGCUUUUUUAUUUUCUCAUCUGGACAGAAACGCGCACUAUGGCUUGCUUUAAUCUACUGCAUGCACAUCAAGAUUCUUUUAUGUGCCUUACUAGUGCAGUUUCACAACCAUAAGCAAAGUAAUUAAAGAGGAGAUCCUUUAUUCAUUUUAGUGUCUUACUCUUGUGAGGUGUGAUAUUUGUUCAG
rnacentral:lncRNA from 1 species